rnacentral:rRNA from 1 species
CCUACGGGUGGCAGCAGUGAGGAAUAUUGGUCAAUGGACGAGAGUCUGAACCAGCCAAGUAGCGUGAAGGAUGACUGCCCUAUGGGUUGUAAACUUCUUUUAUAAAGGAAUAAAACGAGGCACGUGUGCCGUUUUGCAUGUACUUUAUGAAUAAGGAUCGGCUAACUCCGUGCCAGCAGCCGCGGUAAUACGGAGGAUCCGAGCGUUAUCCGGAUUUAUUGGGUUUAAAGGGAGCGUAGAUGGGUUGUUAAGUCAGUUGUGAAAGUUUGCGGCUCAACCGUAAAAUUGCAAUUGAUACUGGCAGUCUUGAGUACAGUUGAGGUAAGCGGAAUUCGUGGUGUAGCGGUGAAAUGCUUAGAUAUCACGAAGAACCCCGAUUGCGAAGGCAGCUUACUAAACUGUGACUGACAUUGAUGCUCGAAAGUGUGGGUGUCAAACAGGAUUAGAUACCCCUGUAGUC